rnacentral:rRNA from 1 species
AUUGAACGCUGGCGGCAGGCCUAACUCAUGCAAGUCGAGCGGAUGAAGGGAGCUUGCUCCUGGAUUCAGCGGCGGACGGGUGAGUAAUGCCUAGGAAUCUGCCUGGUAGUGGGGGAUAACGUCCGGAAACGGGCGCUAAUACCGCAUACGUCCUGAGGGAGAAAGUGGGGGAUCUUCGGACCUCACGCUAUCAGAUGAGCCUAGGUCGGAUUAGCUAGUUGGUGGGGUAAAGGCCUACCAAGGCGACGAUCCGUAACUGGUCUGAGAGGAUGAUCAGUCACACUGGAACUGAGACACGGUCCAGACUCCUACGGGAGGCAGCAGUGGGGAAUAUCGGACAAUGGGCGAAAGCCUGAUCCAGCCAUGCCGCGUGUGUGAAGAAGGUCUUCGGAUUGUAAAGCACUUUAAGUUGGGAGGAAGGGCAGUAAGUUAAUACCUUGCUGUUUUGACGUUACCAACAGAAUAAGCACCGGCUAACUUCGUG